rnacentral:lncRNA from 1 species
CCCAGAACACAAAGGUUGAAUACAGUUAUUGUGCAGGAUACAUCAACGGCAUAAGAGCAGCAAACUCGCUCUUGUUCAAGCCGCGUUGGCGAACACCGACCGACGACCGGGGAAUCCAGGCUCACGGAGAAUUCACAACGGAUUAAAAUAUGCGGAUUACACACAGCUAAAUUUGCAUGCUAAGUCCACAGCUGGAGAUUAUAAAUGCCACCAAAUGCAGCUUCCAACAACGCUGUCUUACCGUUCACCCGGG